UACGUAGGGUGCAAGCGUUGUCCGGAAUUAUUGGGCGUAAAGGGCUCGUAGGCGGUCCGUCACGUCGGGAGUGAAAACUUGGGGCUUAACCCCAAGCCUGCUUCCGAUACGGGCGGACUAGGAGGUAGGCAGGGGAGAACGGAAUUCCUGGUGGUAGCGGUGAAAUGCGCAGAUAUCAGGAGGAACACCGGUGGCGAAGGCGGCAUCCUGGACCGAAUAUUGACGCUGGAGGAAGCGAAAGCCUAGGGGAGCAAACGGG
rnacentral:rRNA from 1 species